rnacentral:rRNA from 1 species
UAGAGUUUGAUCCUGGCUCAGGAUGAACGCUGGCGGCGUGCCUAAUACAUGCAAGUCGAGCGAAUGGAUUAAGAGCUUGCUCUUAUGAAGUUAGCGGCGGACGGGUGAGUAACACGUGGGUAACCUGCCCAUAAGACUGGGAUAACUCCGGGAAACCGGGGCUAAUACCGGAUAACAUUUUGAACUGCAUGGUUCGAAAUUGAAAGGCGGCUUCGGCUGUCACUUAUGGAUGGACCCGCGUCGCAUUAGCUAGUUGGUGAGGUAACGGCUCACCAAGGCAACGAUGCGUAGCCGACCUGAGAGGGUGAUCGGCCACACUGGGACUGAGACACGGCCCAGACUCCUACGGGAGGCAGCAGUAGGGAAUCUUCCGCAAUGGACGAAAGUCUGACGGAGCAACGCCGCGUGAGUGAUGAAGGCUUUCGGGUCGUAAAACUCUGUUGUUAGGGAAGAACAAGUGCUAGUUGAAUAAGCUGGCACCUGACGUA